rnacentral:tRNA from 1 species
CCCCCCGUGGCGCAAUGGCAACGCGUACUUGAAGUGAGGAUCCGGGUUCAAAUUCCGGCGGGGGGA